GGCUGGUUAGCUCAGUUGGUUAGAGCGUCGUGCUAUGCGCGAAGUUUGUGGGUUCGAUACCCGUACUGGCCA